rnacentral:rRNA from 1 species
GAUGAACGCUAGCGGCGUGCCUAACACAUGCAAGUCGAGCGCCCCGCAAGGGGAGCGGCAGACGGGUGAGUAACGCGUGGGAACGCACCCUUCGCUACGGAAUAGCUCCGGGAAACUAGAAUUAAUACCGGAUGUGCCCUACGGGGGAAAGAUUUAUCGGCAAAGGAUCGGCCCGCGUUGGAUUAGCUAGUUGGUGGGGUAAUGGCCUACCAGGGCGACGAUCCAUAGCUGGUCUGAGAGGAUGAUCAGCCACAUUGGGACUGAGACACGGCCCAAACUCCUACGGGAGGCAGCAGUGGGGAAUAUUGGACAAUGGGCGCAAGCCUGAUCCAGCCAUGCCGCGUGAGUGAUGAAGGCCCUAGGGUUGUAGAGCUCUUUCACCGGAGAAGAUAAUGACGGUAUCCGGAGAAGAAGCCCCGGCUAACUUCGUGCCAGCAGCCGCGGUAACAC